GAUGAACGCUGGCGGCGUGCCUAAUACAUGCAAGUCGAACGAUGAAGUUGGAGCUUGCUCCGGUGGAUUAGUGGCGAACGGGUGAGUAACACGUGAGAAAUCUGCCCUUGACUCUGGGAUAACUGCGGGAAACUGUAGCUAAUACCGGAUAUUUUCCUUGGUGGGCAUCCACUGGGGAAGAAAGAAUUUCGGUCAAGGAUGAUCUCGCGGCCUAUCAGCUAGUUGGUGGGGUAAUGGCUCACCAAGGCGACGACGGGUAGCCGGCCUGAGAGGGUGACCGGCCACACUGGGACUGAGACACGGCCCAGACUCCUACGGGAGGCAGCAGUGGGGAAUAUUGCACAAUGGGCGCAAGCCUGAUGCAGCAACGCCGCGUGAGGGAUGAAGGCCUUCGGGUUGUAAACCUCUUUUAGCAGGGAAGAAGCGAAAGUGACGGUACCUGCAGAAAAAGCACCGGCUAACUACGUGCCAGCCGCCGCGGUAA
rnacentral:rRNA from 1 species